UUUUACUGCCAAAGGUAUAUAGAUUUAUUGUUCUAUCCCAUGUUCUUUUCUUACAUUCAGAACUAGGCUUCUAGGUUGUCCUUAUUUAAAAGUCCAUAAGUACAAGCUCAUUAGUACAGGCAUGACACAUUGACAGAACUGAUUUCAUUCAGCCUACUAAAUUCAGGCAUGGAUCAAGAGCUGGCUAAUCAGGGGAAAUUUAAAGAACUUAAAGUUCUUCUAGGUAGCUAACAGUUAAGAACUAAAGGAUUGCAUCCACAGUAGUAAAAUAAGCAAAGUCCAGACCUUUAUAGAAUCUUCCAACUGGCAACCAAUCCUGCUUGAGGAGAGCUGCAAGGGUAGAAGAACGAAAUGGAGGGGAUUCAUUCAGUUUUGAUUGUAAACAUAAAGAUGGGUCCAUUUCUGGUUGUUUGAGUUGGACUAGGGAGGCUGGAAUAGAAGUAACAUAGAGGUGGCAGAUCGAGCUGAUGAAGGACAUUCAGAUGUUUAGGAACCAGUUGACAGAUGUUUCAGGUUCGGAGAGGAGUUCAGACGUCUUCUAACAGAGCCUCAAUCUCCAGCAACCAUUGCUCCUAACUUCUUUAUGAACUUUAGCUUCGAUAACACAGUUGUUGAAUAGAAUAGUACAAUAGUUGUUGAUGAUUCUGCUUUCUUUAAACGGCACUGUUUUUACUAAUUAAAUGCCACGACAGUAGAGUGACGCCCUUUCAUUAAUUUGAUAGUUUUCGGUUGAUAGCUGUUGGUCCUUUCCA